GUUCGUGCAUUUUCAGGGUGGCCAGGAUCUAGAACGCAGGUUCUAGUAGUUGACAAAAAUGGUCAGAAGAAAACUUUGGAGAUUAAAGUCAUAACUACACGAGUUGUAACCAUGAAAGUGUGCAGUUCAAUGAAGCAGAUGAUAUUGCAUUUGUCAAUGAUGCAUUGGUGUUUCCAUGUGGAAGGGGCACCACACUUGAGGUAUUGGAGCUUCAGCUUCCUGGAAAAAAGGUGGUUAAUGCAGCUGCUUUCUGGAAUGGAUUGCGGGGACAGAAGCUUAAGAAAACAUGA